ACCAGCAUGGACUGCAUGUUAGGCCAGCAGGUCAAACUGCACGUAGAAGCUUGUCAGUGAUUAUGCAGGCAAGCAAAGAUAAAUAUCUUUAAGAUCUUGUCACUAAAGGUUAAUACAUGACAGAAGACAUAUA